GUAGAAAAAUCUAAUAAUAAAAAUAAAAAUCUAAUAAUAAAUAAUAAUAAUAAUAAUAAUGUAAGUGUAAUAAAAUGUCCUAAAAAUAUUACCAUGAGUAAAAAAAUAAAAAUAAACAAAAUAAUAAUAAUAAGAAGAAUAAGAAUAAGAAUAAGAAUAAUAAUAAUGAUGAUGAUGAUGAUGAUGAUGAUGAUGAUGAUAACGACAUUAGUGUAGAAUAAUAUUUCCUAAAAAUAUUAACAUAAGUGGAAAAAUAUGUCCAAAAAUAGAAACAUAAAUAGAAAAGCAAAAAAAUACAAAAAUAUACAUUGUGCUAGGACAAUAAAAGCAGCAGAAAUAAUAUAUAAUAAUUAUAAAUAACAAUAUAAGUGUAGAAAAAUGUCCUCAAAAUAUAAACGUAAGCAGAAAAAUGUCCUAAAAAUACACAGAAAAAUAUGUCCAAACAAAUAAACAUAGUAGAAAAAUAUGUCCUAAAAAUAUAAACAUAAAUAGAAAAGCAAAAAAAAUCUACAUUUUGCUAGGAAAAUAAAAGCAGCAGAAAUAAUAUAUACUAAUUUUAAAUAAUCAUAAUGCAAGUGUAGAAAAAUGCUCUUAAAAUACAAACAUAAGUAGGAAAAUAUGUCCUAAAAAUCUGCUCCCCUUUGCAGAUAUUCCAUUAAAAAUCAGUUGUUUCCAGCUAGAAUAGUCAUUUACCACAUUAACAAUGUCUACACUGGAUUUAUCAUUCAUUUUAUGUUAUCUUACUUUUUUUUAAACUGCUUUUCUUUCAAAAAUAGGGACAUUUCUAAGUGACCCCAAACUUUUGAACAGUAGCAUACAUGCAGUGGUGUACACAAGUUGCUCUAUAUUAGUUAAAGUUGCCCUACAUAUCCUAUCAGUAGUCCUCUAUUAUGUGGAAUGUGGUGGCUAAUAUUAUUAUCAGGAUAGACUCAGAAAUUACACACAAAUGAACUCCAAAUGUGACAUAAAUAUGUAAAUGUGCAGACAUUUCUUUGUUUCCCUCCACACUGCAGCUGGUCAGCUCCGUCUUUCCCCUCCUGUUCUUCUUCCUCUCUGUCUGCCUCUUUGGUUCUCACCAUGAAAAAGCUGCUGAUCUGGCCGGGAGGAGACAUAAUUGCCAUUAUGACUGCAGCUCUCUGCACAUCACAGUGUGCCGAUUGUUCCUCAGAGGAGGCGUGGAAACACUGUCUGCUCUGUGCAGACGCCACACAAUAUUAUCAUAGCGUGACUUCAGCUCAUCCACAGCUCGCUUUAUUGCAGCCUCGCAGUCUCUCUGUAAUCUUAACCUUAAGCACAGAGCAAACAUGCAUUUCUAUAGGGCUGAGGAUCCGUACACCGCCUCCUUUGAAGGGGAAAAUCUUUUAACUGUCAAACCCUGGGUAAACAGUCUGACAGAGCCACCGCCGCCAGUAGGAAACGAUAGCAGGAGAGUCCAAUUCAUCUUAGUUCAGGUCCACAUUCAGCCCAGUUUGAUCUCCAGUGAUCCAGACCAGUAAAAUCACAGCAGAAUAACCUAUAAAUAACCACAACUCCUAAUGUUUCCUUUGUUUUAGUGCAAAAAAUAUGGAAGCAAAUCAGACUCAUCAGAUUCUGAAUUUUAAAAGCUGCUGAAUUUCUUACUUUGAAUUUUUUUGUAUCAAAAUUACGUAUGUGAAUUUUUUAUGCCUGAAUUUAGCUCAUCAAAAUUCUAAAAACCAGUUAAAAAUUCAAUGUCUUCAAAAUUCGCCAUCAAAAAAAUUUGAUGUCUUCAAAAUUCACCAAAAAAUUUGUUGUUCACAUCCGGGGGACUCAGGCGUAAAAAAUCGAUCCUGGCCAAAAUCGAACCAACGCCCAGCCAAUCACGUGGCGCUCCUCCGGUCAUGUGACGCAGACGGUUCACCUCACAAGACCGGGGUCAACCACGGCUACCAGCAUGAACGACGGCGCUUCACAACACCGUCUGAACUGACCAGUCUGGUGAAAUUCUGGACUGGAUGGGAGAUUCUACCAAGAACUCUCUCCUCAGAAGUAGUGAAUGGCAGAUACCUGACAGCCUGCACCUGCUAUGAGACCUUACAUUCCCAGGACAUUACAAGGACCUUUGUAGCGAGGACCCGAUGCCAGGUCCAGUGGACAGACUUCAGACGUCUCUGUGUGUCCCGUCCUGUCCGGUCCUGUCUCUGGUUGCCUGGUUACAGACGCUGCUGCACCCGCACGUUUAAAAAUGUCUACACCUGAAACUCCACCACGUCUAAAGAAGCAAAAACGUUUGCAAAUGUACAGACUGGAGUAGGAAGAGUGGAACCCCUGGCAAUGGAUACAAGGCAAACUGUGUUUUCUGUUGCUCAUGGACUGGCUGAAGUAAGGCAGCAUCAGGAGACAAACAUGGAGGAAAUAUGAGAACAGAGAGAACCCAACCAGCAGGUCACAGUUUAUCAUCAUCUAAUCAUCUCCUGAAGUCCAUAUGACUAAAGAACUACAGACUCUUCACAACCUGCUCAAACUCUUGGUACAGGACCUCACCACACGGGUCAAGAAGGUUUCUGUCUCAUUUCUACUCUGAAGCUCACCUUCUCCUGCUCAAACUGCUGACAAAUGUUUCUGCUGCUCUAAAGUCUGGUCUCCAGAACUUCCUAAAAACUCUCAAAGUCUCUUCUGCUGCAGGUUGCUUUGUAGAACUGUUCCAGAAAACCUCACUAAACCACAUGGAGGGGCCUCAAGAUAGUCGUCCAAAUGAAACCAUACAAAAACCAAACUAGCACAACCCAAACACUAAAGUCUCCUGCAGCCUACCAGAGAACCUCUGAGAACAGAGAAUCAGGACAGGAACUCUUACCUUCUGGACAACCAACGCUGGUUCUCCAACAAGAAUACAGAAUGUGUCUGAGCAAAAACCUCUGAAGACUCACUACAACCAAGAUAAAGACACAACUCAGCUGCACCAAACCCACUAAUCACUGCACACAUUAGCACCAUGUGCUAACUGUGGCUAAAGAACCACCUUUACCAAGACAACUAUCCAGUACAAAGCCCUAAAACACACCAAGAAACACAUUAAAGACGAUUUUACUGCUGGAAGCUGCAAGCCAACGCCUAAAGAACAAAUUAAAGCAACGGAGCCAAACCCGGUUCAGUGGUGAAGGAAAGCAGAGGAAAUGUUUGUCUGCAGCUAAAUAAAGCAGGAAGACACUGAGCUGCUCAGGUGUUUCUGAUAACACCAAGCAGCCACCUGGAAAGCCAAUAGGAACACAGCUUACUGGAAGUCCAGAGGGCUGGCUUAGUCAAGGAAAUUUAGUUUAAUGUUGAAGCAGAAAGUUAAUAAAGAAAGUUGAAAACCACCUUCUGAUCCCUGAAAUCUCUGAGUUUUCACACAAAGAACACCUGAACAUGUCAAACUGGUUCCAUAGUAGAACCAUCACUGUAAAAACGUCAUAGUAAGGUGUGUUGCUCAAAAAACAUUACAACCUGGCUGUCUAGGGUCACAGAGGAGCAACACAAACACAGGUGGUAUAUUCCACCCAACAUUCUUGAACAUAAACUUAAAAAGUUCAUUCAAAAGAAUAUUCCACCCAAAAUCCUUCAAUGUAGACCAAAAAAAUCUUGGUGUAAAGGAGUAUUUCACCUUAAAUGUAGAGCUAAAGGAUGGUUUGGAGUAAUAUUCUACUCUAAAAUCUCCCAAUGUAGACCUAAAAGGUUUAUCUGAUGGUAUAUUCUACCCAACAUCUUGGAACAUUUUCCUAAAAGGUUGGUUUAAUGGUAUAUUCCCAGAAGAACCCUUGAACAUUGGGCUUAAUGGUAUAUUCCACCCUAAAUACUUGUGCAUAUACCAAGAAGUCAGUGUAAAGGAAAUGUAGACCUAAAAGGAUUGUUUAAAAGAAUAUUUAAACGAUUACUUUCAUUAUUUAAUAAUCUGUUAUCAGUCAGAACCCUGGCAAACUUAUUUUCAUCUGUUUUUUUUAGUGGAAGUCACAAAUAAAGGAGCUCUUGGUUUUUCCCGGCGUUACUGAGUCCAAAGCUGCUGUUUCAACACAGAACGUUCACAUACAUCCACAAACCUCUCAGCACUCAAACACCCACAGACAGGAGGCCGGCUGGACCGAGGCUCGGCGGCAUCCUCAGACCCACGAGUCGGGGAGUCGCUGAACUUGUUGGUCCGGUUUGAAGGCCUCCAUGUGGUCCAGUAGAAGUCCACGUAGUCGGUGUUGGCUUUGAACCACAGCGACUGGCCGCCAUCAGGUGGACCGGCUCGUCCUCGUAGGACUCCUCCUGUAGCCUUGAGGGAACCACAGGAACAUUCAGUAGCUGUUGGAGUUCUUCCUGUCAGACUCCUGGUAGAACGGCUCUGAAGAAUCUUGUACUCGUCUUAUCUGGAACAAUCUAACAGCCUAAACUGUUAACAGCGGUGUAAAGAAGCAAACACACAGGCAUUGAUUAGGACACAAACUAGAUUUAUUUUAGAAAACAAAUCAGCUUAGAGGCAUUUGUUCACACGUGGCUGAAUAGGAGGCCGUCCAAUCAGAUUCGAGGUCUUCACUCUGUAGGUUGUUUGUUGGGUGAGACUCUUGGACCUCCAUCAGCUGACGUGGAUGUUUGAUGGUCUUCCUCUCUAGUGCCAGAUGAUUCAUCCAUGAAUUCAGCAGCUACAGACUGAAAUGAAGCUCAUGCUGCCGUGAUUGAAUUCCUGUUCCAGAUCAAAUGUUCAGAUCUCACCUUGAAUGCAGCCGUCUGCUGUCUGAUAGUUUUUCUCAUUGUAGUCUUCAAUAAAGUCUUUUUCCUCAUGUCAGGAUGUGGUGAGACUCUUUCUCAGUCGCUGCAGACGUCCCUCAUUGUGCAUUUCCAGAGAAGAAACAGAAAAACUGGUCACUGCUUCAGCAUCACAAACGCUCUCCAGCAUUGAGAGUGUUUUAGGAAUUCAUUCAUUGUGUUGUGAACUUUGAAGAAGCAGAAACUUUACAGCUGCCAAAGAUAUGAGCUCCAAUUCUGGAUGUUUUAGGAAAUGAAGUUCAUCAAAUGAACACUUGAUUUUUGCUGAUAACUCUCAUUAAAUUACUGAAGAAAUCUAAUAUAAAAACCUGUAAACUCUCAGGCAGCUUUUGUUAAAGUUUGUCUAUAAUUCUAUCAUCAUGUUCUGGAACCAGGACUCUGCAGAAGUUCCUUCAAUCAGAUACUUGUGUGUUUCUAUUUAAGGCCUCAGGUUUGAACGUACAGCAGAGGAUUAGAAAGGAGUGAUUUUAAUGUUUAAAUCAGUCCAGUAAAUGUUUGGAGUAAAAAUGAUUAAAAUUUUGAUUUAGAUAGAUUUGUGUCAAAGAAUAUUGUAGAUUCUCACUUAAAUAUAUCCAAAUGAGUUCAGUGUAUUUACAUUUUAUAGAAUAUUUGAUUUCUUAAUCUCAAUACUGUAGAGUCUGACCCUAAAUAUUAUAAUGAUGUAAAUCUAAAUAAUAAAUAAUAUUGUAGUGCAGAGUCAUAAACUUUAAUCAGUUAAACUUACAUAAUAAAUAUCACUGUACAAUCUUAACCUGAACAUUCAUAUUAUUGAGGUAAAUUUACAUAAAUCAUGAUAUUCUAGGGUCUUAACUGGAAUAUUUCUAACAUGAAUCUUUUUGUAUUGUGCUGAUAAACAACAAUAACCCGACUUUCAGAUACUAUUUAUUCACUGUGUAUUGGGUAGUACAGAACUACUGAACUGUGGCCCCAAGUCGCCGUGGUGGGCGUCCUUUAUUUUCAUUUCUGAAAGGUGGCAACCCUACUGCUCUGGGAUUUAACUACAUUUUCGGAAGCAUAAAUCACACUUCCCCCCUUUUGUGCGUUUAUAAAAUUGUUACUC